UGCCCUGACAAUGGGCAAAGAGACACCUUUGUUGGUGGUGGCAUUCUUAUAUCAGUCCAGGGGCAGAGCAGGUGGCAGUCCUUUGCUCAUCCUAGCUUGGUGCCUGGCUUGGUGGCCAAAGCUGUCUUACACCUAGGACACAUAA